rnacentral:rRNA from 1 species
UACGUAGGGUGCGAGCGUUGUCCGGAAUUAUUGGGCGUAAAGAGCUCGUAGGCGGUUUGUCGCGUCGACUGUGAAAACCUGGGGCUUAACUCUGGGCCUGCAGUCGAUACGGGCAGACUUGAGUUCGGUAGGGGAGACUGGAAUUCCUGGUGUAGCGGUGAAAUGCGCAGAUAUCAGGAAGAACACCUAUGGCGAAGGCAGCUCUCUGGGACGGUACUGACGCUGAGACGCGAAAGCGUGGGGAGCGAACAGG